rnacentral:rRNA from 1 species
CUACGGGAGGCUGCAGUGAGGAAUAUUGGGCAAUGGAGGCAACUCUGACCCAGCCAUGCCGCGUGCAGGAAGACGGCCCUCUGGGUUGUAAACUGCUUUUGUUUGGGAAUAAACCCUUCUACGUGUAGAAGGCUGAAGGUACCUUACGAAUAAGGAUCGGCUAACUCCGUGCCAGCAGCCGUGGUAAUACGGAGGAUCCAAGCGUUAUCCGGAUUUAUUGGGUUUAAAGGGUCCGUAGGCGGAUCUUUAAGUCAGUGGUGAAAGCCCACAGCUCAACUGUGGAACUGCCAUUGAUACUGGAGAUCUUGAGUGUAGUAGAAGUAGGCGGAAUAGGGCAUGUAGCGGUGAAAUGCAUAGAUAUGCCCUAGAACACCGAUUGCGAAGGCAGCUUACUAUGUUACAACUGACGCUGAGGGACGAAAGCGUGGGGAGCAAACAGGAUUAGAUACCCCCGUAGUC